rnacentral:rRNA from 1 species
CCUAAGUCCCCUGGAAAGGGGCAUCAUAGAGGGUGAUAAUCCCGUACAUGGCUUGGAGCGCCCGAGGCUUUGUGAUACGCUUUCUAAGAGUCGAGUUGUUUGGGAAUGCAGCUCAAAAUGGGUGGUAAAUGCCAUCUAAGGCUAAAUAUUGGGGAGAGACCGAUAGCGAACAAGUACAGUGAUGGAAAGAUGAAAAGAACUUUGAAAAGAGAGUUAAACAGUACGUGAAAUUGCCAAAAGGGAAGGGUAGGAGGUCAGAGAUGCGGCCUGGGAUUCAGCCUUGCUUUUGCUUGGUGUUUUUCCCAGAUUGCAGGCCAACGUCGGUUUUGGGCACUGGAGAAGGGUAGGAGGAACGUGGCACCCCUCGGGGUGUGUUAUAGCCUCCUACUGGAUACAGCGACCGAGACCGAGGACAGCAGCGUACUCGCAAGAGCGG